rnacentral:ncRNA from 2 species
UGUGGGAGCGGGCUUGCUCGCGAAUGCGGCGUGUCAGCCUCCGAGUCUUGGACUGACCCACCGCAUUCGCGAGCAAGCCCGCUCCCACA